CACCUUUUUUAUAUUUGGGCAACCUACACAAUUUAGGUUCUCUAGCAUACGCUUUGGCUGUUCAUUUGAAAAAUGUUGUUCUACCAAGGAAGAUCCAUGAGGUGUUAUACCAACACUUGGUAUACGCGACAGUUGGUCACCAAACACUUUGGUUGUUCAUUUGGAAAAUGCUGUUCUACCAAGGAAGAUCCAUGAGGUGCUAUACCAACACUGGGUAUACGCGACAGUUGGUCAGCAGUAAAUCCCCAGUUCAAGUCAUGCAUAUUAACACAUCCAUUCAAGCUGACAUGAGUC
rnacentral:lncRNA from 1 species